GGAGAACCCGCAGGAGAAACAGUGAACUCGGAAUUAAAGGACAAGGAAGGCUUUUGAGAAGUAACUCCAGUGCCGCUGCGGUUGUAAACCUCACGAUUACAGCUCAUGUUACAUGGAUCCUCAUUUCUUGAUUCCCUCGACCUUCUUGUGGUACAGACAUAAAUGAAGAGAAGACAUUUGUGCUAACACAGGGAGUGUCUGUCUCUGAAGCUCCUCCAAGGCCUCAGCAGAAAUAUGAAGAGCCAUUUCAGAGUUAAGAUGAAACCUAUUCUGAAAUUCAGUUUUAUGGAAGACACAAACCAAGGAAUACAGGCAAGAUUUGGACAUUUGAGUCAAGUAGAUUUGACACUGAUGGCUAGCCUUGGAAAAACUCUUCACUGAGGCUGGAGACCUGUCAUGAACUGCAGCCACAAAACAGCCCUUGCCAGCUGCCUGCUCCUUAUACCACAGCUUCUGGUCCCCAAAGCCCCCAGCUGAGCAGAUUGAGGUAAAUGCAAAGAUUGACGAUAAUAAAUUCAAGCUUUCCAAGUGAGUGAGUGAGUGAGUGAAAACACGGCAUUAAAGAAAACAUUUGGUAAAGUUGUCAGUGAUUCUCGACCCAAAACUAAGUGUUUUCUAGAUCAUAAGAGAAUAUGUCAGUUUUCAUCAUUUUGAUCCUGCAUGCAAAAAACAGAAAUGAAAUAUUCACGGUGAUGCAAGCUGGCUUUGAAAUCAGCAAGCCUUGGCUCACACCAUUCACCAAAUUGGCACAUUCAUCGGAAAAGAUGUUCAAAGUAGCUCACAGUAG